rnacentral:rRNA from 1 species
GAUCAUGGCUCAGGAUGAACGCUAGCUACAGGCUUAACACAUGCAAGUCGAGGGGAAACGACAUCGAAAGCUUGCUUUUGAUGGGCGUCGACCGGCGCACGAGUGAGUAACGCGUAUCCAACCUGCCCAUCACUUGGGAAUAACCUUGCGAAAGUAAGACUAAUACCCAAUGAUAUCCCACGAAGGCAUCCGAAUGGGAUUAAAGAUUUAUCGGUGAUGGAUGGGGGAUGCGU